rnacentral:lncRNA from 1 species
ACCUCAGCUGCAGCCGCCCUCUCAUCAGACUCCUUGAGAACCCUGUGGGUAUGAAACAACUCUGCUUCCAGGGACUUGGCGUGCUCUUGUGCCUCAGCCGCCUUCCCGUCAGCUCUUUUGAGGGCCUCCAAGGCAGAAUGCAGCUCUGCCUGGAGGGACUGGGUAUGAACUCGAGCUACUGCGAGGUUGCCCCUGGCAUCACUAGUUGCGGAUAAAUUCUCCUC